UUCCGGUUGAUCCUGCCGGACCCGACUGCUAUCGGAGUGGGGCUAAGCCAUGCGAGUCGUACGCUUCUUGACUGCAAGAGGCGUGGCGAACGGCUCAGUAACACGUAGCUAACUUAACCUAGAGACGUGGAUAACCCCGGGAAACUGGGACUAAUCCGCGAUAGAUCAAGGCUCCUGGAAUGGGCUUUGGUCGAAAGGGAUGGACAAGCAUGUUUUGUCCAUCUGCUCUAGGAUAGGGCUGCGGCCGAUCAGGUUGUUGGUGGGGUAAUGGCCCACCAAGCCUAUAACCGGUACGGGCUUUGAGAGAAGGAGCCCGGAGAUGGACACUGAGACAAGGGUCCAGGCCCUACGGGGCGCAGCAGGCGCGAAACCUUCGCAAUACGCGAAAGCGUGACGAGGUCACUCCGAGUGCCACUCGCUGAGGGUGGCUUUUCCCAAGUCUAAAAAGCUUGGGGAAUAAGGGGAGGGUAAGUCUGGUGUCAGCCGCCGCGGUAAUACCAGCUCCCCGAGUGGUCGGGACGUUUAUUGGGCCUAAAGCAUCCGUAGCCGGUCUUGUAGGUCUUCUGUUAAACCCAACGGCCCAACCGUUGGACUGCAGAAGAUACCGCAGGACUAGGAGGCGGGAGAGGCGGACGGUACUCCAUGGGUAGGGGUAAAAUCCUUUGAUCCAUGGAAGACCACCAGUGGCGAAGGCGGUCCGCCAGAACGCGCUCGACGGUGAGGGAUGAAAGCUGGGGGAGCGAACCGGAUUAGAUACCCGGGUAGUCCCAGCCGUAAACGAUGCGAGCUAGUGAUGGAGUGGCUGUGUGCCAUUUCCAGUGCCCGCAGGGAAGCCGUUAAGCUCGCCGCCUGGGGAGUACGGCCCCAAGGCUGAAACUUAAAGGAAUUGGCCGGGGGGAGCACCACAAGGGGGUGAAAGCCUGCGG
rnacentral:rRNA from 1 species